UACUCCGCUCUAUCGUUUCUAUUCUUACUUCUUCUAUUUCUACACUAUCUUUAUAUCAAUUCUUUCUAUCUACGAUGACUGCUAUUAUUAGUAGGCUGUACUUGUUCUUCUUAAACUUUAAGUUUCAAGGGAACUAGGCUAAGCUUGGCUGCCUUAAGUUUUAUUCUUAAACUUAAAAUCGAAACCUAAUAAAACUAAGUUAGUCAAGUAAACCCUAAUUUAGUUUUGAUAGCUCCUAGCAUUAGAUUUCCUCUAAGCACUGCAUCCCUCACUCAAGAAUUGAGAAACCUGGAACUGCAAGGCUGGUCCUGUGUCGCUUACCCCCAGGUUAUCGAGGAAGGGUACGGAAGAUUUGGCCACCGGAAGCCUGCUGCUGUAUCACUCGAGAGCCACACUCAGCUUUGCAACUCAAAGGACACAAGCACCAAAGAAACUGCAGGAAAAGGGAAGAAAAAGCCACGGCCAAAGGCUGCAAACACCACACCCCUGUACCGAGGGCUCGGGUUCGACACUUCUCCGCACAGGCUUAAUCCUCCUCUCUGCAUUGGCCCUCUUCACACCGGAGUCGAAAGUGAGCUCCCUCUAACUAGGGUGUGGGUCUUUCCCUGCCUUUCACAAGAUAGCACUGCCAUUUUGAAGGUAGUUCUAGAAACCAGCUUCUUGAGAGGGUUCCCCCCCAGGAAAAGGGGGAAAAACAAAUCUGUUACCAUUUCAGUCGGCAACGUCUCGUAGGCUCUUCUUUUCACCUCUCUUGCACAGAGUGGCUCUGCCCUCCACCCUCUUCCCAUUACACCUUUAGCAUUUCACCCAGAAAGCACCCUUUGUAACGGCACCCGACAGUCACAUCAGACUCUGGCCUCUCCCCAGCCUUAAUACCCCACAGCCCCAUACCCAACGAGGAAGCACACAGCCUGGUGAAGAAUACUACAGUGAGUACAGAUGAGGAAUUGAAAGCACUGACCUCUUUCUCACAGCCUUUUAAGUGGAAGGCAGAAAGCUGAGGACUGUUCAUUUCUGCUUAGGAGAAUGUCCAAGCUGAUCAGGUCUACGUCUGCCAGUUUCUCCUCCAGCUGGGGCUCCUGGACAAUUCCUCUGCAAGCGCAGCUGCAAAAGUCAAGCAUGAGCCAUCACUACACAAAGCUCUGUUGGUGCUUGAAAUCUUGGUCUCAUCCCUGCCUCCCUCUCCCAUCCCAUCUACAUUGGCCCCACUUGAUGAACAGAGACCGAGUAAACACAGACAAUCAUCGCUCCACUUUAGAGCCAACUGCCACACAUGAUUUUCAUCUGCUCCUACUUCUCAAUGGCUUCCAAAACCUAACCUGUAGGGAUGCACCCCUAGCACCCCUGCCUGUGUCCAAUGAAGGGAGACAGCACAAGGAAAGGCAAGGACAGACACAGAGAGAGAGAUGGUGUGUGUUGGCCAACGUACUAGAGAGAGAGAAAAAGGUGGGAGGAAGGCAAGCAACUCACCACCUGGAGUCAUCCUCCUGGAUCUAACCUGUUGCAGAGGACACACCGGUCCUGGCCAGAGAAAUGAGCAGCCCCUGGAAAUGGGGACCUUGUCUCCCUCAAAACCAGAACUAGUCAGGAACCUUUUCUUCCAACCUAGCCCUAGCUAACGGGGUAUCCCUACUAAGAGCAAGAUGGGCCAUGAGCAGAGCCCUCACCAAACCAAACAUUUAUCUCACUGAAAGUGGUUGUGCUUCCGCUCUCAGAUGGAUGGCUUUUGCGUCGCAUCAACAACGCUCACAGUCUCGUCGCUCUCGCUUCCUUUCCAUCGCAUGAGGGCAGUAGACUCUGACGCGUGACUUCUUUUCCCUUGCUACUAAACCCAGCACAAGGAGGAAAAACACAUAAGUUACCCUCUCAGUCAGCAAUGUCGGGUAGGCUCUUCUUUUUGCCUCCCCCACACGGGGCUGCACCCUCAACCCUCUUCCCAUUACACUACUAAAAGUAGAAAGUACCCCUUGCAAUUACACCCAAAAUAGUCAGUCUGCACAGCAGACUCUGGUCAGAAAUGCAAGGCUUUGGAGCUGUGCUCCGGCUCCGCUCCAGGCAAAAACCUGCAGCUCCACUGCUCGAGUUGCUCUGCGCUCCAGCUCUGCUCCAAAGCCCUGCAGAAAUGCCAAACCCGCACAAAAAUAUGCAGAAAGUGGUCAUGUUUUUGGCCUAAUUGGCUUGUGAGUUGCUUGUUGGUUAAUUUUUGACUUGUAGGUUGUUGCUUCUUGUAGCUUCUUGCUUCUUUUUUUUUUAUCUGCUCCCAGUAAAGACGGGAGAGAAACAGGGGUGCACAGUGGGCCCACCACAGUCCCAGACGACAUGCCAGGGGAGAUUUAGUCACAUAGAGUGUUGGGGUUCUUAGGGAUUGGCUUGUUUUGAAAUGGGAUUGGCUUGAUUUUUGGUUUCUUAUGAAAGUCAGGGUGCUUAUAUACCCAGUGAAAGUUGGCAACUGUGACUCUGGUCCAUUCCCCAGCCUUAAUCCCACAGAGCACUAUAUUCAACGAGGAGGCACAUGGCCUCUGAACAAAACUGGAGUGAGCACAGAUGAGGAAUUCCAAGCACUGACUGCUUACUCACAGCCAGUAAUGUGGAAGGCAGAAACACGAGAACUAUUCAUGUCUCCUUAGAAGGAUAUCCAGGCUGCUCAGGUCCACUUCUGCCAUAUUCUUGUCCGGCUAGGGCUCCUGGACAAUUCCUCUGCAAACUAAUAAAGCCGAGCAAGAACUAUCACUACA